AUAGAUGAUGAUAAUGAUUGUCGCCCCAGUCUUACUUGCAUCUACAUAGAUUAGGUGCAUCGUGGUGAUUGACACAUUAUCUGAUAU
rfam:Punica granatum cultivar Dabenzi scaffold109, whole genome shotgun sequence.